UACGGAGGGUGCAAGCGUUAAUCGGAAUUACUGGGCGUAAAGCGCGCGUAGGCGGCUUGGUAAGUCGGAUGUGAAAGCCCUGGGCUCAACCUGGGAACUGCAUUCGAUACUGUCAAGCUAGAGUGUGGGAGAGGGUGGUGGAAUUCCCGGUGUAGCGGUGAAAUGCGUAGAUAUCGGGAGGAACAUCAGUGGGUAAGUCGACCGCCUGGCCCAACACUGACGCUGAGGUGCGAAAGCGUGGGUAGCAAACAGG
rnacentral:rRNA from 1 species